AUAAUGGCCCUUUCUUACGUCUUUAUCCACACUGAUAUCUUGCUGAAGCUUUUACAGGCCCCGUUUCCACUUAAAUGCCUGAAGGUAGGAAACCUUCCUGCUAAGACAUUGCAAAGACAGUGGCAUUACAAGGACGCUGCUGUAUUGGGACUGUAAAAGCUUUGGAUCAGAUGCUGUACGUGAGGGACAUUUGUCAGAUGAGCCAAGGAGGAGGACAGAAGAGAACAGCAGGCCAGUGGAGCACUUGGAACAGCGGAAUCCAGAGGAAACUGGUAGAGGGAAGAGGAUGAUUUAGGUGACCCAAACACAGGCCCAAAACAAGACGAGAGAGGAGGGUGGACAAGAGACAGCAACAUAUACGUCUAAGAGACAGCAACAGAAGAGGGCAGAAAAGACAGACAGCAACAGAUGACAAAGAGAAAGCGAUGGAGAGAGGCAGAGGAGGGAUGCCCCCAGAACCCUCUACUGGCUUUGGGCUAAACAGCAUAUCGAUUGCGCAACCAGGGGUGGAAAGACCUUGGAUCAUUGUUACUCUAACUUCCGCGACGCAUAUAAGGCCCUGCCCCGCCCCCCUUUCGGAAAAGCUGACCACGACUCCAUUUUGUUGAUCCCUGCCUACAGACAGAAACUAAAACAAGAAGCUCCCACGCUGAGGUCUGUCCAACGCUGGUCUGCCCAAGCUGACUCCACCCUCCAAGACUGCUUCCAUCACGUGGACUG
ensembl:lncRNA